rnacentral:rRNA from 1 species
CCUACGGGAGACAGCAGUAGGGAAUCUUUCACAAUGGGCGAAAGCCUGAUGGAGCAACGCCGCGUGCAGGAUGAAGGCCUUCGGGUCGUAAACUGCUUUUAUAAGCGAGAAAUAUGAUGGUAACUUAUGAAUAAGGAUCGGCAAACUACGUGCCAACAGCCGCGGGCAUACGUAGGAUCCGAGCAUUAACCGGAGUGACUGGGUGUAAAGAGUUGCGUAGGUGGCAUAAGAAGUAGCUAGUGAAAUCUGGUGGCUCAACCAUUCAGACUAUUAGCGAAACUGUUAAGCUCGAGACCGUUAGGGGUAACUGGAAUUUCUAGUGUAGGAGUGAAAUCCGUAGAUAUUAGAAGGAACACCAAUAGCGAAGGCAGGUUACUGGGACGGUUCUGACACUAAGGCACGAAAGCGUAGGGAGCAAACGGGAUUAGAUACCCCAGUAGUC